GCCUGUUAUACCUUUGUCUAGGGUUGCCAUUCUGUCUGGGUGGCCGCAGCAUGCUGGUCUUCUGCAGAAUUAACACCUUUUAUUGUUUUUUUGUUGUUUCUGUUUGCUAGCUGAGCCCUGAACUACUUGAAAGAGAAGUGCUUCAGAGAUGAGUGGGUGAGGAGGAUUUCUUCCUGCUCAGCGAUGAUUGACAUGUAUUCCAUGAAGACAAAGGUGUCAAGUCAAAGCUGACCAGGAACCACCACCUGAUUCAAGCUGUAUCUCCAUUGGAUUGAGUCCUGGUAAAAGCUUCACCUGGCCAGUCUCAUUUCUACUCUCUUUGGACCCGGGGACUUGGCCCCAGUAAAAUAACGACACGUGUUCCCUUGUAAAAAUCAACUGUAAUGCUGCUACCUGUACUUUCUAAAAAUGCAGAAGUCUAUAAGGAUAGAAAGCCUAAAACAGUGGAAGAAUGACAAAUUUUAAAGUGGUAAAAACCUAACAGAUCAUACCAGCAUCAUUGGAUACAUGACAAGUUAUCUAAAAAGAGUUUCUCAGUGUUCCUAUGAGCACAACAGAGAAUGUAAAAAUUUGCCUCCCGGUUUUCAGGAACCUUUGGGUGAAAACAAAAAUCCACUACUAUAUUAUUUAGGAGUUUCAAAGCAGUUGGUAGUGCCAGAAAAAACAUUAAGUUGAUAUCCCAUCUAAUAUAUUCAAAGCAACAUCUAGGUAUGUUGGUUAUGGAUUUGUUGCCUUAUAAUUUGGGAAUCUUUUAAAGGUCCCCAUGUAACAGUAUCUUUUAUUCACUUGUAUCUUUUAUUGUUGUCUUAGAGUCUUACUGCCUUUCUCUGCUAACCUAGGCCUAAUCCUGGAAGCUUCUAGUCUUCCUACAAUUUAAUCUAGGCCUAGAAUGUUUUCAGCCUCUGAGACUUAAAAAUGAAUAAGCUCACCUUUUCUAGCUCUUUCUGAACUCUGGCUUGCUGGUUCAACUCAGUUGUUCUGGCUCAAACUCCUCUCCCAGCUGACUGAUUCAAUCUGGCUUUUCUCUGGGCCUCUGAAUUGCUCUGCUUGGCCUCAUACUAACUUUGGCAAUAUGCUCUAUUUUUCUGGCUCCUUCUGUCUUUAUCUGUGUCUAGUUUGUUCUCUCUUCGACAUGUCUCUAUAAAACUCUCCCAGUGUAACUGCCUCUGAAUUCCACAAACUGAAUGGCCAUGAACUCAUACCACAGCAAUGCCUCUCAACUCACUCUCAGCAGAACUGCCUGAACAACAUUGAAUAGAACUAAAGAGAUCUGCAUGCCUCUGUCUCCUGAGUGCUGGGAUUAAAAGCAUGUACCACUGUGCCUGGACCUAAGCUUUUCUCUACUUUGAAUUUGUUCUGUACCAGGCUAGCCUUGAACUCAGAGAUCUGUUCGCCUGUCUCCAGGUAUUAAAGGUGUGUCUGUAUUGCAGCCAGAUCACAAAGACUAGAAGGUCUUUGAAAGUGAUCUCUUGCCAGAGCAGCCAUAUUCUAAAUUAAAUUUCCUCUACACUCCUGCCUGCCCUGCCUUUGUGAGUGAGCUGAUCUUGAAAAACAUACAGAAAACUCAGGGCAAUUAUAAUAGUUACGUUAAGGAAGCAGAUAGAGUUACAUAGAGAUGACUGUGUGGUUUUAAUGCAACAUAUCCGCCAUAGGCUCAGAUGUUUAAACAGUUGGUCCCUAACUGGGCAGGGGGGUGGGGUGGGGUGAUGUUUUAGAAGACUGAGGAACUGUUAGGAUGUGGAACCUUGUGGGAAGAAUUAGCUCACGAAGGGAGAUCUGAGAGCUCAGAGCUUGACCUCACUUCCCAAGAACUCUCUGCUUCCAGGCUGCAGCUGCAAUGUGAGGAGCCACCUGAUGCGUCCCUGAUGAGGGUGGGAUGUAGCCUCUUGAACUGAAGCUGAAUAAACUCUGCAAAAUGA